rnacentral:tRNA from 1 species
CAUUGAAAAGCUUUACAUAGCAUCAGCCUUUUAAGCUGAAGAUGGGGGGAAUCCCCCUUCAAUGAC